GAUGAAGAACGUAGCGAAAUGCGAUAAGUAAUGUGAAUUGCAGAAUUCAGUGAAUCAUCGAAUCUUUGAACGCACAUUGCGCCCUCUGGUAUUCCGGGGGGCAUGCCUGUUCGAGCGUCAUUAUAACCACUCAAGCUCUCGCUUGGUAUUGGGGUUCGCGGUUUCGCGGCCCCUAAAAUCAGUGGCGGUGCCUGUCGGCUCUACGCGUAGUAAUACUCCUCGCGAUUGAGUCCGGUAGGUCUACUUGCCAGCAACCCCUAAUUUUUUUAAGGUUGACCUCGGAUCAGGUAGGGAUACCCGCUGAACUUAAGCAUAUCAAUAAGCGGAGG
rnacentral:misc_RNA from 1 species